rnacentral:rRNA from 1 species
CAGCAGCCGCGGUAAUACGAAGGGUGCAAGCGUUAAUCGGAAUUACUGGCGUAAAGCGUGCGCAGGCGGUUGUGUAAGACAGGUGUGAAGUCCCCGGGCUUAACCUGGGAACUGCGCUUGUGACUGCACAGCUAGAGUAUGGCAGAGGGGGGUGGAAUUCCCGGUGUAGCGGUGAAAUGCGUAGAGAUCGGGAGGAACAUCAGUGGCGAAGGCGGCCAUCUGGGACAACACUGACGCUGAGGCACGAAAGCGUGGGGAGCAAACAGGAUUAGAUACCCGCGUAGUCCCUGUCUCUUAUACC